CCUCAGCGAGUAACUGAUGCCACAUACAAAAUCUGGAGAAAAAAAUCCACAUACCUUGCCCAGAUUGUGGCAAUGGAGCAGAAGCCAAGCCGCACAAAGGCACCCAUCUUGCCCCUCAGAAAUAACCUGACACUGAGCAGUGUGGAGGACAGAGCAGCCCUGCUUCGUGUG